GACCCGUCUUGAACCACGGAGUCUAACAUGUGUGCAAGUCAAUGGGUAUAUAAUCAUUUUACUAUGAUUGUAUAUUUAAAAUGAAACCUAAAGGCGACAUUAACUUAACUGUUAUUACAUGGGAUGAAUAUAUUUUCUGAAAUAUGAAAUAUACACAAUCCCGGGGCGUUCCAUCAGUUAUGUAUAGAUUGUGUAUGCUUCGGCAUGCACAUUUAUGCCUCUAACUGGAACUGGAGCGUACCUUGAGCAUAUAUGUUGUGACCCGAAAGAUGGUGAACUAUACCUGAUCAGGUUGAAGUCAGGGGAAACCCUGAUGGAAGACCGAAACAGUUCUGACGUGCAAAUCGAUUGUCAGAAUUGGGUAUAGGGGCGAAAGACCAAUCGAACCAUCUAGUAGCUGGUUCCUUCCGA
rnacentral:rRNA from 1 species